rnacentral:misc_RNA from 1 species
UCUGGCUUAUAGCCAAGCGGUCUCACUAGAGUGCCCAACUUAAUGCUGGCAACUAGUGACGAGGGUUGCGCUCGUUGCGGGACUUAACCCAACAUCUCACAACACGAGCUGACGACAGCCAUGCAGCACCUGUCUCGGCGUCCCCGAAGGGAACUCCUGGUUUCCCAGGAUAGCACCGGAUGUCAAGCCCAGGUAAGGUUCUUCGCGUAGCAUCGAAUUAAACCACAUGCUCCACCGCUUGUGCGGGCCCCCGUCAAUUCCUUUGAGUUUUAAUCUUGCGACCGUACUUCCCAGGCGGGAUACUUAAUGCGUUAGCUGCGUUACCGACACAAUUAGGAAUGCCGACAACUAGUAUCCAUCGUUUAGGGCGUGGACUAC